rnacentral:lncRNA from 1 species
CUCACCUAACCAUCCUCACAUUCUCUAAGAAUAGCCAGAAGAGCCUCCAAAUCCACAUAGUAACAUUGGUGUGCUCCUGAGAGCAAUUCUGUGAUCCUUUCCUUAUGACCAAGGUUGAUUGGGCCAGAAGUGGUAUAUGACAUGGUUGAGACAAUUGAUGACCUUUCUCCCUAUUUCAUUCUUUGACCCUAAUUGUUUUUUUUUUUCAGGGAUGAUUGGUCCCUAAACCAAACAGAGUAAGGAAAAGAAAUUCAGUCUCAGAUGAAGUGGUGGGUUUUUAUUAGGAAACUGGGAAAUUUCAGCUCCAUGUGUUCUGCAAUAUGCUCCAAUCAUUCAAUCCAAUCAAAGCUGGUCUGUAGAGAAAAAAAAUAUAGCCUGGAAAGAAGCAGACUCUGUCCCUUUUGGAGGCCCAGCUGCAUCUCUGCCCCGGGCUCUGUGAAAUACUCUGAGAGGAAUUACCCUUUUCUGCUUAAGCCAACCUAGUGGAUUUUAGUCACUUGCAGUGAAACGAAUUUGACCCAAGAGGAAGUACGUGGAUCUUAGUGGUGAAGUGAGGAAGCAAUGUUAAGAUAAGCAAAAAGGCUGAGAGGUUUAGAGAAACAGAAACAAAUG